rnacentral:lncRNA from 1 species
AGAUGAAAGGAAGCCAAUUAUUAUUGGAAUCUUGGGUUCAGAAACGUAUUAUUGCUACUGUUCUUCAAGGAGUCAACCUAUCCCAUGGGAUUCCCAUGUGGAGGAGUUUCAAAGAACAUAGAACAUGAAUGACAAAUUUUAAGAGUCCCAGACAGAAGGUGGGAAGAAAGCUCAGGACAAACAAGCAGGGAAAAGGACCAAUCUUCCCACGACUGCUGGCAAGCACCAAGAUUCCAUAGUUGCACUGAGCAGUCUCACCUGGGAUCCCUGCCCACUGCCCACAGGCCCUGGGAAUCAUUUAAGCGCUGGACUGCUCCACCUUCCCUUCUGGAGACGUGGUGAAGGUGAGUUUGGCUUUAGCUCUGACUCUUUCCUA